AUAAUAAGGGAAAAGGGCUUUUGAAAAUGUCUAAUUUAUGUUAGAGAUACAUUUUGAUCCAAUGGUCCAUAUCAACCUGGGUAUAUAUCAAUGACUCAGAUCAAUGUAUUUCCCGCCCAAAUAUUUCUCUCCCUCACCCUUCCACCUAUCCACGUCUCCUCCCUAUUUCCUCUUUAUCUCUCUCUCUCUCUGUUCUCACCCACUCUCCUCUCAUUCCCUCUUGAUCUCUAUCUUCCUUCCUGUUCUUUUUCUUUCCUACCCUCCCUCUGCCGCUGCUCUCCAGUCUUCUGCCUCUCGAACUCGGCUGUAUCUGUCCCGACGCUGCUCGCAAGGUAAGAUUUUUACCUCUCCAUUCUCUCUCUGUUUGUGUUUGCCUCUCCAGUCCUCGAAAACUUAUUCUGUCUCUCCAAUCUUCUCUGUCGGGCUGUGAACAGGUUAUUUUAUGGUUUUGUUUUAGGGCUAUUUUCUGUUAUUUAGGGCUAUUUUCCAUUGUUUAUUUUGGAUUUGUAAUCCUCUCUGUCAGGUGAACAGGUUAUUUUAGGGUUUUCUUUUAGAGCUAUUUCCAUUGUUUAUUCUGGGUUUGUAAUCCUAACAUUCAGGCUGUGAACAUGUUAAUUUUUGAUUUUGAAAUCAAAAAUUACGAAGAGGUGUUUUUUAGUAAUGUUAGGUAAAUUAUUGUGUUUUGAUUGCAUUGAGUAUAUACGAUUACACUAUUUUUGGAAAUCCAUUGAUACAGAGAGGGAAAUCCAUUGAAAUCCAUUUUUGGAAAUCCAUUGAAAUCCGUUAAUCUUGGUUUAUGCUUAUAAAGUGUAAAUAAUGAGAGGGACUAAGGUGUUUUAGUGUGGAAAUCCAUUUAAUAUAUGAGGUGGAAAUUAUAUGAGGUGGACUAAGGUGUUUAAUUAUAAGGUGGAAAUCCAUUUAUGCUUAUAAGGUGUAAAUAAUGGGAUUAAUCUACUGUGUUUGCUCUGUUGUCUGAGGAGGGAAUUGCCAAGGGAAUUCAUAGAGUAACUGCUAUUACAACACUGUGCUUCUAAGGCCUUGGAACUAGCAUUGUCACUUGAAGUAAAUGAGGCAUCAAAAACAAAAGGAAGCUCGCUGGAACAGGCACUAAAGCAGCUACCUCAAGGAAAGAUCGAAUUAGCCACAAAAUUUGGUAUUGCCAAAAUUGAACCUACCCAAAUUGUGGUGAAAAGCACCCCUGAAUAUGUUCGCUCCUGUUGCGAGGCGAGCCUGAGGUGCCUUGGUGUGGACUACAUUGAUCUCUACUAUGUACACCGGAUUGACACAUCAGUACCUAUAGAGGAAACCAUGGGGGAACUUAAGAAGUUGGUGGAAGAGGGUAAAAUAAAGUUCAUUGGAUUAUCUGAAGCAAACCCAAACACAAUAAGGAGGGCACAUGCCCCCUACGGGCCCUACCUUUCUACUCAACCAUAUCAGCAUUCGUCUGUUGAUUACUUGUAAGGACGUUUCUAAGCAAUUGGUGUUAUGAUCCUGCUUGCAUGCCUUAAAUACAUUUCCCAUCAUUGGUUUGAAAAUUUUGCUAUUUAUUCACUAUAUAUAUAAAUUCACUAUUAAAUAAAUGAUUAAAUUCACUAUAUAUAUAAAUUAAGUUAACAACCUUAUUUAAGAGCUCCAUUUUGAUCAUCA